CAACCAACUCCUGCCAACAACUGUGGGUGUUCAAGGCAACCAAUCACUCUUUGGCUAACUGAAAAAAAGAAGACGAGUUUGACCGACUUGAACGUAACAGCGUGUCUCAGCUACACUCUGCUCAUCUCGAGUCUUCGCUUCUCAUUUGCUUCAGAGCAUUUCACCUGCUGUUCCAGACAACCCACUUGUGCCUGAUCCGCUGCAGGUUAACCAACCAACCAACCAACCA